GAGGAAGGUUUUUACCGAUUUACUCCUGAGGGCUUGUAGCUCAAUUGGUUAGAGCGCGCGCUUGAUAAGCGUGAGGUCGGAGGUUCAAGUCCUCCCAGGCCCACCAAUUUAUGAUUGCUGAUAAGUUUGCUGAUAAGUUUUUUGUGAAUGUUUUGAUGGUUUUUUAUCUUACAAUCUUUCACUUUUAUGUUGCAAUCUUUCAAAAGUAUUUGAACUGUUUUAGGGGCCGUAGCUCAGCUGGGAGAGCACCUGCUUUGCAAGCAGGGGGUCGUCGGUUCGAUCCCGUCCGGCUCCACCAUCUUUGGUUAUCAUCAUCGUUAAAGAACAAUGUUUUGCAAUAGAUCUGUAGAUCUUAAGUCUAUCAUCUAUUGCCUGUUCUAUUGAAAUUGUGAAGAGAAGAUAUAUUCAGACAUUACUGUUUUAUUCAGCUAUUGUUGUUUUGUUGUUGCUUUUAAUGUUUAAGUUUCUCCUUUAAGGAAUGACAAAAAGCUUAAAAACGCAACGCUAAC
rnacentral:tRNA from 1 species